AGAUGAUGCUAAGAUUGAGCUUGUAUUUGACGUCCACAUUGAGCAGGUAACCAUUCUCCAGAUUGAGCUAGUAACCGUUGUCCAGAUUGAACAGGUAGCCUCUGUCCAGAUUGACCUGAUAUAUUUUCAGCAUUAUUCCUCAACUUCUCUUGUCUGAAAUAUAAAAGAUAAUAGAUUAUCAGGUGAGAUAACUCUAAAAAUCAAAUAAAUGCAAGGUGUUCAAUGUCAUUUUAAUGCAGUUGUCUGCCAUGGAUAAAAAUGCAAACCAUAAUAUAGUGUUUAUUUGAAAAUGCAUGGCUACAUGAUAUUUGAAAAUAGAUUUAUCAUUCUUGUCUCAACCUUCUGACUUAAAACUAAUAUUCACUUAUGCAAUUGUUACAUUUCAACAGCCUGCCAAAAUUAACAUCCAUUCUUCAAAAUCAUAAAAAAAACAUUCAUCUCUUACUGCCAAUGUCCUAAUAUUACAGACCUCUAAAAAAUGCAAUACUGCCAAGAUUUAAGGACUGAAAAUAGUCUACAUUUAAAGUCCGCAGUCACAGAAAUUAAGAUUAUGGGGCCGUUUGGGUUAACUUAAAAGAAGUGACUUCUUGCUUAUAGUAAAGAAGUGGAGUAGAAGUGAGAAGUAAAUAAGUUAAUAAAGUGUUUGGAAAAGAAGCAGAAGCUGUGAGAGAGAAGCUAGCAUUUUCAGCUUCUUCUACUUCUUUACACAAACGGGUCAAAAGAAGCAGAAGCCAGAAGCAGAUUCUGCUUCCGUAAACCAAACAGGCCCUAUAAUGAAAAUAUAGUCAACUUAAAUGACUUACUUGGUCGGAGUAAUUGGCUUUGUCUAUGGUUGUCUUGGUGAACUCAGUCGCUUUUCUACUUUCGAUCUGACUAUUAGAGGUAAAGCCAUCUUUGUCAACAAUUACAGUCAAAUUGAGUUUCUUUUCACUAACAAACUGCAAUAUAAUAAUUAGAUCAUAUGAUUAGUAAUACUUAGUCAUUCUAAAAGUCCAAGUCGAUUACCUAAAUGCACAGCCUUAUUUAAAAGACAAUACAUACCUUAUUAUUUAACUCAACUGGACAUAAUGAAUGAUAAAUGAUAGAAAUAAAAUAAGUAAAGAAUUAGAGUGAAGUUAUAUACUCAAUAUAUAUAAAAGGUAGACUCACUAAAAUCUCAAGUCCUAUAACAAUGUGAAGUUUUUACAAAUUCAUAUGUUUGAGCACACAAAACUAUAUAAAAGAGAGCUCAUAAAAGGUCAGGUCACAGGUCUGAAAAAACUGUGUAAAAAUCUCGAAGCUUAGAAUCCAGAAUGUGAACUUAAUAAGAUCACUACUUUGACCGUCAUUCACUAGUCUCUUGAUUUCAAGCACAUAUUGAGUGUCAUCCAUUUAUUCAAGAGAAGCCUCUAACUAUAGAAAUAACAGAGAAAAAGUGCAUGUAGCAAAACCCAACUGUAAGGACCAUGAGGCGGCUCCCAUAUAGCAAAACCCAACUGUAAAUAUGCAUUGAGUUUUUCAAACAAUGAUUCAAAUAGUGCAUGUGGAAGCAAAUGGUAAUCAGCAAAUAAUGGACCAUCCACACAUUUAUAUCACAUGUCUUUAGUGUUUAGUACUAUCCUCCACGUUGCAAGCAUCACAUUUAAAUGAAGAUGCACUACAAGAAAAAUCAUUUUUAAUGAAUUUAAAUGGUAAUCAGCAGAUAAUUACCAGAGAAUCUUCUUGGCUGGUAGACUC
rnacentral:lncRNA from 1 species